rnacentral:piRNA from 1 species
UGUUUAAGGGAGCAAUUGACUAAAGAG